rnacentral:misc_RNA from 1 species
GAACUUUCAAGUUCCAAACUUUAACCAAAAUUCCUUCUCAAUGGCUCCUCAAACUCGAUCAAGCUCUUCAAAAAGGAACAAUUCUUCGCCCGCGGAGGAGUUCGAGCCCGAUAGAGAACUCAAUAAACGUCAAAAGCGACCUCAAUGUCAGGAAGAAUCAUGUUUUCUCACAAAAGAUUGCAUCGAGAGGCAUCAUUCUUGGUUUAUUUCUGGAGAAAUUGUUCCAGGUAGGUUUCUUGAUUUGAAUUACUUCACUCAAGAAGGCUUUCGAUUUGGUAAAUGGUUCAAGGAUAUGGAUUGGGUACCUAUUGUGGUCAUGAGACAAGAAUUCUAUCCUCAGUUGGUGAGGCAUUUUUAUUCCAAUUUAUCAUAUGAUUCUGAUAAAACCUAGAUAUGUUCCUUUGUGAAAGGGAAGGAAAUUAGAUUGAAUCAAGAGUCCUUGAAGAAAAUCCUUGGAAUUCAUAACCUUGGGAGUGAGAUAUAUGACAAUAAUAUGUGGGUAGCGGAUGCUGGAGUCAGUAGAGUAGAAGCCCUUAGAAUGGUUUUUGACAAUCCUGAUUUAUCUGAAGUAUCAAAGGUUAAUGCUUGCCACUUGAAACUAGAAAUGAGAUUGCUUCACCACAUGGUAGUGCACAUAAUUCUACCUAGAAAAAGGAACUUUAACCAUGUAUCUUCUAUGGAUUUAUUGAUUGUGUGGCAUAUUCUUCAAGGGAAGCCAUUUAAUUUGCCAUUUGCGUUGUUAUCUCAUAUGAUUGCAUGCUCAGAAAAGAAAAAUUCUUAUUUGCCAUAUGGCAUGAUUCUCACAUCUAUCUUCAACAAUUUUAAAGUUUCUCUUGAGGAAGAGGCGGGUGUAGAAUUGAAAGGUUUAGACAUUUACAAUGAGGUUACUUUGCAUAAGAUGGGUUAUGUGAAAGGUGAAAGGGGUUGGUUUCUUAAACAGGAUAAAGCUGUUGUUCAACCAGGUUUAGAAAUCCAAUCUCAGGUGGAUGUGAAUGUCAGUCAAUCUCAAGAUGCUCCUCCUCCCGCCCCUCCUAAGUCAACUUCCCAAAAGACACCUUCAGAUGGCAUUACUUCAAUGUCCGAGUUGAAUCCCACAUCCUCUGCUGCUCCAUCUUUAGAGGGAGCUAGGCAGCCAAGUAUGACUGAAGAUAUUUUCAUCCUUGUAAAGGGCUUGAAGGAAGACAUGGGAAUCAUGACUAUGGACUCCAAGCUGGAUGAUUGGCAAAAUAAAAUUGAACAUUUGCGAUGCCUAGUUAAUCAAGUUCGACGCCGAAGGCAAGAAAAGACCAUUGGAGAUAUUUUCGUCCUACUAGAGGUUAUUAUGGCUGACAUGAGGACUUUGCGCUCCAAGAUGGACAAUUUUGGAAGCAAGAUUAAUCAUUUGCAAGCCCAACUGACUGAAUUUUCUCCAUCAAAGGCAAGAUUUUAUUAAAGUUGAUUAAGAAAGCAUAGAAUGGAUGAUUGCUGACCCAGUUACCUGCAGAGGACGAAACCAAAAUAUUAUUCGUCGCUUUGAGACUAUUGGCAGUGAAAUCCAAGAUUUUUGGGAUUGCUGAUCAUCCUCGAUGAAUGGUGGUGAGUUCCUUUCAACUAGUUAAAGUUUUGCAUAUGGUCUUUUUUUUUUUUUUUUUUUU